rnacentral:rRNA from 1 species
UACAGAGGGUGCAAGCGUUAAUCGGAAUUACUGGGCGUAAAGCGUGCGUAGACGGUUAUGUAAGUCAGGUGUGAAAGCCCCGGGCUCAACCUGGGAAUGCCAUUCGAGACUGCAUAGCUAGGGUGCGGAAGAGGGAAGCGGAAUUUCAGGUGUAGCGGUGAAAUGCGUAGAUAUCUGAAGGAACACCAGUGGCGAAAGCGGCUUCCUGGUCCAGCACCGACGUCAGGCACGAAAGCGUGGGGAGCAAACAGG